UGAGGACGAGGUGGUCCGGGAGAGAUGCCGGGAGGAGUUGAAGAAAGCUGCCAUGGAGUGGGGUGUGAUGCACCUUGUUAACCAUGGCAUCUCUGAUGACCUUAUCAACCGUGUUAAGGUUGCUGGAGAGACCUUUUUCAAUCUCCCCAUGGAGGAAAAGGAGAAGUAUGCUAAUGACCAGGCCUCCGGCAAGAUCGCUGGCUAUGGCAGCAAGCUUGCCAACAAUGCUAGUGGACAGCUUGAGUGGGAGGACUACUUCUUCCACCUCAUCUUCCCUGAAGACAAGCGCGAUAUGACCAUCUGGCCUAAGACACCAAGCGACUACGUGUAAGUUCAAUUCAUUGUUUAUGUAAUUAUACGAUGUUUGCUGAUCUGUUUUUCCUCUGGCCAAGUAGUUACUAACUGAAUUUUCUAUUAUAAAAAAAAAUCUGCAAAUUUUACUAAUUUUGAAAUUGUUUCUGGGUUCUAAGAAUUACUUGUUCAAACUUGUGAUUGCAGUCCAGCAACCUGUGAGUACUCGGUGAAACUUAGGAGCCUGGCAACCAAGAUACUAUCGGUGCUAUCGCUUGGGUUGGGAUUGGAAGAAGGGAGAC
rnacentral:lncRNA from 1 species